rnacentral:rRNA from 1 species
CCAGACUCCUACGGGAGGCAGCAGUGGGGAAUAUUGCACAAUGGGGGAAACCCUGAUGCAGCAACGCCGCGUGAGUGAAGAAGUCAUUCGUGAUGUAAAGCUCUAUCAGCAGGGAAGAAAAUGACGGUACCUGAGUAAGAAGCCCCGGCUAACUACGUGCCAGCAGCCGCGGUAAUACGUAGGGGGCAAGCGUUAUCCGGAUUUACUGGGUGUAAAGGGGGCGCAGACGGCGAUGCAAGCCAGGAGUGAAAGCCCGGGGCCCAACCCCGGGACUGCUUUGGAAACUGCCCGGCUAGAGUGCUGGAGAGGUAAGCGGAAUUCCUAGUGUAGCGGUGAAAUGCGUAGAUAUUAGGAGGAACACCAGUGGCGAAGGCGGCUUACUGGACAGUAACUGACGUUGAGGCUCGAAAGCGUGGGGAGCAAACAGGAUUAGAUACCCUAGUAC